ensembl:lncRNA COPB2-DT COPB2 divergent transcript
CUAGACCACUAAGGGCCGUGACGUGGUGCCGCUGAGCUUGGACCCCGACCAGAAGAUAGAGAUUGAAACGAUGAGGAAAACGAAGUGCCUAAUCCCCGCUGGACGCUAACUGCAGGGCAAGCUCCCCAGUGUUGUAGUUGUGUUUCGGAGGCCGAGAACCGCUAUCGGGCUUCCUCGGACUCUGGCCCUGGAGGGGGGAAACGGCGAGGGAGAAGGCGAAACGAGUCUCCAGUGUGUUCUUGGGGCCUGGUGCGAGGCCCAGAGAAUUCUCUGCAGGCCUUUGCCCGGGCACUGAUUAAGGCUGCGAAGAGACGCACCGGGCUGCGGGCUUAGUAGCUUCAGGCUUCUGAAGUCAGAGGGAGGGCUGAGAGCUUACACUUCUGGAGCUCCCCGGGAGACGGCAACUACCCAACCGUGUGGGAACAUGGAGGAGACAUAUUUCCACCUAUUUCUCUCCAUAAGUAUAAAAGACCAUAAAAGACCAUCUAGGGACUUCAGAACCCAAAUAAUGACACAAUGUUAAUUUGCAGGUUCUCCCUCUGCCUGCCACC